UUGAGGAGCGCGGUAACACCGGCUGCGGGCACCGCGCACUGCUCUCCCUUUCUGCCUUUCCCCGCUUUAGGCAGCAGCGGCUCGAGCAACCUGCGCCUGGUUGCCCACCCACAAGCGAUCCCUCCCUUCUCGGCGGCAACAUGGAACAGCUGAAGGCUUUUGAUCAAGAAGUAAAUGAGUUUGUGGACUAUAUGUUUGGAGAUAGAGAUCCCAGGGUCAGAGGGUGGCUUAUGCUGGAUUCGUACUUACCUACUUUUGCUCUCACCAUGCUAUAUCUGCUCUUCAUAUGUCUGGGCACCACUUUUAUGAAGAACAGGCCUGCUUUGUCACUCAGGGGUCUUCUUAUUGUAUAUAACCUUGGAGUCACAGUGCUG